rnacentral:rRNA from 1 species
GCUUGCUUGGUGGAUCAGUGGCGAACGGGUGAGUAACACGUGAGCAACCUGCCCUGGACUCUGGGAUAAGCGCUGGAAACGGCGUCUAAUACUGGAUAUGAGCUCCUUCCGCAUGGUGGGGGUUGGAAAGAUUUUUCGGUCUGGGAUGGGCUCGCGGCCUAUCAGCUUGUUGGUGAGGUAAUGGCUCACCAAGGCGUCGACGGGUAGCCGGCCUGAGAGGGUGACCGGCCACACUGGGACUGAGACACGGCCCAGACUCCUACGGGAGGCAGCAGUGGGGAAUAUUGCACAAUGGGCGGAAGCCUGAUGCAGCAACGCCGCGUGAGGGAUGACGGCCUUCGGGUUGUAAACCUCUUUUAGCAGGGAAGAAGCGAAAGUGACGGUACCUGCAGAAAAAGCGCCGGCUAACUACGUGCCAGCAGCCGCGGUAAUACGUAGGGCGCAAGCGUUAUCCGGAAUUAUUGGGCGUAAAGAGCUCGUAGGCGGUUUGUCGCGUCUGCUGUGAAAUCCCGAGGCUCAACCUCGGGCCUGCAGUGGGUACGGGCAGACUAGAGUGCGGUAGGGGAGAUUGGAAUUCCUGGUGUAGCGGUGGAAUGCGCAGAUAUCAGGAGGAACACCGAUGGCGAAGGCAGAUCUCUGGGCCGUAACUGACGCUGAGGAGCGAAAGGGUGGGGAGCAAACAGGCUUAGAUACCCUGGUAGUCCACCCCGUAAACGUUGGGAACUAGUUGUGGGGACCAUUCCACGGUUUCCGUGACGCAGCUAACGCAUUAAGUUCCCCGCCUGGGGAGUACGGCCGCAAGGCUAAAACUCAAAGGAAUUGACGGGGACCCGCACAAGCGGCGGAGCAUGCGGAUUAAUUCGAUGCAACGCGAAGAACCUUACCAAGGCUUGACAUAUACGAGAACGGGCCAG